rnacentral:rRNA from 1 species
AGUGAACGCUGGCGGUAGGCCUAACACAUGCAAGUCGAACGGCAGCACAGUAAGAGCUUGCUCUUACGGGUGGCGAGUGGCGGACGGGUGAGGUAUACAUCGGAAUCUACUUUUUCGUGGGGGAUAACGUAGGGAAACUUACGCUAAUACCGCAUACGACCUACGGGUGAAAGCAGGGGAUCUUCGGACCUUGCGCGAUUGAAUGAGCCGAUGUCGGAUUAGCUAGUUGGCGGGGUAAAGGCCCACCAAGGCGACGAUCCGUAGCUGGUCUGAGAGGAUGAUCACACACACUGGCACUGAGACACGGUCCAGACUCCUGCGGGAGGCAGCAGUGGGGAAUAUUGGACAAUGGGCGCAAGCCUGAUCCAGCCAUACCGCGUGGGUGAAGAAGGCCUUCGGGUUGUAAAGCCCUUUUGUUGGGAAAGAAAAGCAGCAGGUUAAUACCCCGCUGUUCUGACGGUACCCAAAGAAUAAGCACCGGCUAACUUCGUG